GAAGAGAAUGUUGCAUGCACAGCCUAAGGUUUCAUUCCCAUGCGAUUGUUCUACAUGACUGAAUGGUUCUACUGACUUUUUUUUAAUGUUAAAGUGCAGGAGUAAUUUUUUUUAACCAGCAAAAAGGCUAAGUGAUUUGAUCAGGGCCACAGAUCAGCAUGAUAGAGACAGGACUAUUAUAAUGUUCUAGUAAGCCAGUCAGAUUGAAAGCUUAAACUCUGGAAACAGGAGUCACCUUUUAUCAUGUGUUUGAACUAUGCUCAGCAUAACAGAACUCAAUCCUUUCUGAGGUUUCUGAGUACUGGUUUAAUACAGAUAGUAAAUGUCAAGUAGACCGAUGUGCAUGGGGCUUUACAUAGCCUUUUUACUCUUGGGAUCAUAAAAACUUAAAACCUUCAACAGAAUAAGGAAGGUAAAGUGUGCAAGCCAGAACAAGAAGUUACUCAACAACAUGACAGAAGUUUGUGGCUGAGCCUGGCCACUUUGCAAUUGAACUUAGCUUCUGCUACAUCUUUGGGAGACCCUACCUGGUACAAGUUCCAUCACUUCCCUGGAAUUUGCUGUGCACUUUGCUGUUAACUCAGGUGAUUGCCACCAGUGGCUAAUGUGACUGAUUCAGAAUCACACAACAGUGCCUCAGGCCAGUCCCACUCCUCCUCUGCACUACUGCAUAUUGAUGCUGGCUUUGCACUGCCUGGUCAUGCAUGACCAAUGGCUUUGUGAGGGAGCAUCUCAAGGAUCUGAUGCCAUUUUCAAAGACUGUUUAUAUCUGCAGCAUCUCUGAUUUCUGUUUUGAAAGAUUCUGACUUCAUCCCAGUACAGAAGAAAGUGGGGAAAAGUAUGUAACCUUGACAAAUUUGGAUAAAUAUUUUCCUAAUCAUAUUCACUCUGAAGCUUCUUGUGCAAUUAAAUUCUAGUCUGACUUCCUUCAAAGUUGGCACUUGCUCACUGACAGCAACCAGUGAAGACCACUAUAUUGCAAAGCUGUACCAAGCAGCAGUCCUACAUCCAUAAAUGAUAUAUGAAAUGCUACUAGCUUGACAAUAAAGAAGUAUGGCUGUACUCAGUUCAUCUCUGUUACAGGAUAUCUCACUGCUCAGAAAGGUGAAAAGUUAUGUAUGUAUAAAAUGUACACAAAUAGAACUAAAACCAAGAUUAUCAUUUAUUUCAGCUGAAAAGAUCCAAGCCUGGAACACUGCUUUUUUCCCCAAAAACCUUGAGUUCACAGCUCUCACACUGAAACCUCUGUACCAUGAGCUCCAGUUCUGCUCUGCAGAAGGGGUUUGUUUCAUCCAUCCAUCUGCAAAUAAACUGAGAUGUGAUAGGCAGUGCAUCAACAGAGAGACCUGUGGCAGGGGAACAUGGAAAGAAAAGGACACAAAGGAGCUAACAAUUGUCAGGAAGUGGCGCAAGAAUGAGAAACCUGUCUGACAUGCCUCCGCUCCAAGUAGUUCAGCACUCCUCUUCCCUGCCUUUUUACACUCCCAGGCCAUCUUGAGUUCAAGAGCAGAGGUGCCAUGUGCUUGUAGCUCCCACUAAAACUUCAGCUUAACUAACAGCUCCCAAAAGCACAUUGAGGAGCAACCGGAGAUGAAGACAGGAAAAAAUAAGAAAACCUUUCUUGAAAGCCACAGCCUGAAAGUACUUUUUAACACUGUUUCACUCGUAGUCCGGGGGACACCAUCUCACACAGAAAAACAAAAAUACAUGGAAAGAUGCAUGGUUUGAAUCAAAAGUAUCCUUUGUUGUCUGAUGCCUAUUUGCUAUCUUUUUCACAUAAGAUGGAAAACAGUAGGACUAUAUUUUUGACAGCUUUCUGGUUCAAAUAAUAAAAAUAAAAAAAUAAUAAAAAU
rnacentral:lncRNA from 1 species